GAGUUUGAUCUUGGCUCAGAUUGAACGCUGGCGGCAUGCCUUACACAUGCAAGUCGAACGGCAGCACGGGAGCUUGCUCCUGGUGGGCGAGUGGCGAACGGGUGAGUAAUGCAUCGGAACGUAUCCUGGAGUGGGGGAUAACGUAGCGAAAGUUACGCUAAUACCGCAUAUUCUGUGAGCAGGAAAGCGGGGGACCUUCGAGUCCUCGCGCUCUUGGAGCGGCCGAUGUCGGAUUAGCUAGUUGGUGAGGUAAAGGCUCACCAAGGCGACGAUCCGUAGCAGGUCUGAGAGGAUGAUCUGCCACACUGGAACUGAGACACGGUCCAGACUCCUACGGGAGGCAGCGACGUGGGGAAUUUUGGACAAUGGGGGCAACCCUGAUCCAGCCAUGCCGCGUGAGUGAAGAAGGCCUCGG
rnacentral:rRNA from 1 species